UACGAACUGUGCGAACGUUAUUCGGAAUCACUGGCUUACAGGGUGCGUAGGUGGCCGGACAAGUCAGGUGUGAAAUCCCUCAGCUCAACUGAGGAACUGCGCUUGAAACUGUUUGGCUAGAGUGAGCUAGGGGUGCUUGGAACUGCCAGUGGAGCGGUGAAAUGUGUUGAUAUUGGCAGGAACACCGGAGCCGAAAGGGAAGCACUGGGGCUUAACUGACACUGAGGCACGAAAGCCAGGGGAGCAAACGGG
rnacentral:rRNA from 1 species